GAUGAACGCUGGCGGCGUGCCUAAUACAUGCAAGUCGAGCGAACAGACGAGGAGCUUGCUCCUCUGACGUUAGCGGCGGACGGGUGAGUAACACGUGGAUAACCUACCUAUAAGACUGGGAUAACUUCGGGAAACCGGAGCUAAUACCGGAUAAUAUAUUGAACCGCAUGGUUCAAUAGUGAAAGACGGUUUUGCUGUCACUUAUAGAUGGAUCCGCGCCGCAUUAGCUAGUUGGUAAGGUAACGGCUUACCAAGGCGACGAUGCGUAGCGGACCUGAGAGGGGGAUCGGCCACACGGGAACUGAGACCGGGUCCAGACUCCUACGGGAGGCAGCAGAAGGGAAUCUUCGGCAAUGGGGGAAAGCCUGACGGAGCAACGCCGCGUGAGGGAUGAAGGUCUUCGGAUCGUAAAACUCUGUUAUUAGGGAAGAACAAAUGUGUAAGUAACUAUGCACGUCGUGACGGUAGCUAAUCAGAAAGCCACGGCUAACUACGUG
rnacentral:rRNA from 1 species